AUUGAACGCUGGCGGCAGGCCUAGCACAUGCAAGUCGAGCGGAAACGAGUUAUCAGAAGCUUCGGUGGAUGAUAACGGCGUCGAGCGGCGGACGGGUGAGUAAUGCCUGGGAAUAUGCCUUGAUGUGGGGGAUAACUAUUGGAAACGAUAGCUAAUACCGCAUAAUCUCUACGGAGCAAAGAGGGGGACCUUCGGGCCUCUCGCGUCAAGAUUAGCCCAGGUGGGAUUAGCUAGUUGGUGAGGUAAGGGCUCACCAAGGCACGAUCCCUAGCUGGUCUGAGAGGAUGAUCAGCCACACUGGAACUGAGACACGGUCCAGACUCCUACGGGAGGCAGCAGUGGGGAUAUUGCACAAUGGGCGCAAGCCUGAUGCAGCCAUGCCG
rnacentral:rRNA from 1 species